GUGCCAGCGCUGCGUUAUUUGGUUGGUGCCUGCGGACGGGCCCGCGGGGGUUUCGCCGGGGACUUCCCUGGGGCGUCCGGGUUGGCGUCUGGGAGGCCAAGACCGCUGUGUGGAGGUAGCCGCAGCGCCAGCACCAGAAGAAACAGUUUGUGUGAAGGCUGUAAGGCUUGGAGAGGUUUUGGCUAUUUUGACGACUAGAAGGUGGGCCACAUGAGUGUGACUGAAGUUUAGUGGAAGACAUAUGGUGUGGAAUGAUCCGGGAGAAGGACUACAUCACAGCAAGCUCGUUUGAUAUAGUCAUUGUUGGUGGCGGAAUUGUGGGGCUUGCCUCUGCCAGAGCACUCAUCCUGCGACAUCCAUCACUUUCUAUUGGUGUUCUGGAAAAGGAGAAAGAUUUAGCUGUUCACCAGACUGGACAUAACAGUGGUGUCAUACAUAGUGGAAUUUAUUAUAAACCUGAGUCUCUGAAAGCCAAAUUAUGUGUACAAGGUGCAGCCCUCCUCUAUGAGUACUGUCAGCAAAAGGGAAUUUCCUACAAGCAGUGUGGCAAG
rnacentral:sRNA from 1 species